rnacentral:rRNA from 1 species
GCAAGUCGAGCGGCAGCAGGUCCUUCGGGACGCUGGCGAGCGGCGGACGGGUGAGUAGCGCGUGGGAAUCUGCCCAUCGGUGGGGGAUAGCCCGAGGAAACUCGGAUUAAUACCGCAUACGCCCUACGGGGCAAAGUGGACCUCUGAUUCAAGUUCAUGCCGAUGGAUGAGCCCGCGGCCGAUUAGCUAGUUGGUGGGGUAAAGGCCUACCAAGGCGACGAUCGGUAGCUGGUCUGAGAGGACGAUCAGCCACACCGGAACUGAGACACGGUCCGGACUCCUACGGGAGGCAGCAGUGGGGAAUAUUGGACAAUGGGCGAAAGCCUGAUCCAGCAAUGCCGCGUGGGUGAAGAAGGCUUGCGGGUUGUAAAGCCCUUUCAGCAGGGAGGAAAAACAUUCGGUUAAUACCCGGAUGAAUUGACGUUACCUGCAGAAGAAGCACCGGCUAACUCCGUGCCAGCAGCCGCGGUAAUACGGAGGGUGCAAGCGUUAAUCGGAAUUACUGGGCGUAAAGCGCGCGUAGGCGGUCGGAUAAGUUGGAUGUGAAAGCCCUGGGCUCAACCUGGGAAUUGCAUUCGAUACUGUCUGGCUAGAGUUUG